rnacentral:lncRNA from 1 species
GGAGGAUGAUGGACGUGUGUGGCUGAGCCGAUCUUGCAGGGAAACCACCAGGAGUUAAAGUGCGCUUUGAGGCAGGCUGCUGCAAAGGAAAUAGGUGCCUGGUGUUUGCUAACCCAAACGAAACCUUUCCCUUUUGGUGAGGAGAUAAAAGUCAGAGUUUCAUACCAACACUCAGCUAUCAGGAAUGUGCCUUUCACGGCUGAUAAGUGAUGGUUUCUACUCGCAGCAGACUGCAGGAGAACUCGCCUUGCCCUCUUUCAACUGCUGCUGUUUGAAUCUGUAAUAAAGCGUUUGCAAGCUGCUCCACAAAACUGCAUCGAGACUGAUGGACAUUGGUGCACAUGCUGGGAAACCAACCCAAGAAGCAGUGAGGACAAGGAUCCCAACAAGGACUCCAGCUCACUUCUAUUCAACUGUAUUAUUUGAGACUUAAGCUGCUGCAAAUGAGCAGCAGCUGUGGCUUUACCUUCCUGGACCAUUUUGGGGAGCCUUGAAGUCCCUUCUCUGCAAUGUUCUGUGUUCCUGCCCCAAAUGGAUACCUCCAGCUGCAGUAUGAAGAAGUGCUUACACUGGAGACUGAAACUAAAUAUCCAUCUAAUUCCCCUGAUUCAAGGGAAUUGAGUUGCAUACCUAG